rnacentral:rRNA from 1 species
AUUAGGAAUCUUGCGCAAUGGGGGCAACCCUGACGCAGCGACACAGCGUGGAGGAGGAAGGUCUUCGGAUUGUAAACUCCUUUUAUGAGGGAAGAAUAGAUGACUGUACCUCAUGAAUAAGUACCUGCUAACUACGUGCCAGAAGCAUCGGUGAUGCGUAGGGUACGAACGUUAUCCGGAGUUAUUGGGCGUAAAGAGAUGCGUAGGCGGCUUAGUAAGUCUUGAGUUAAAGUCCACGGCUCAACCGUGGAAAAGCUCUAGAUACUGCUAGGCUUGAGAUAUAGAGGGGUAAAUGGAAUUCCGAGUGGAGUGGUGAAAUACGUUGAUAUUCGGAAGAACACCAGUGGCGAAGGCGAUUUACUGGCUAUAUUCUGACGCUAAGGCUCGAAAGUAUGGGUAGCAAAACGGAUUAGAAACCCUAGUAGUCC